rnacentral:rRNA from 1 species
GCGGAGUUGUGAGAGAGCUUGCUCUCGAACAGCUUAGCGGCGGACGGGUGAGUAACACGUAGGCAACCUGCCUGUAAGACUGGGAUAACCCACGGAAACGUGAGCUAAUACCGGAUAUACCAAGCCUUCGCAUGGAGGCUUGGGGAAAGACGGAGUGAUCUGUCACUUACAGAUGGGCCUGCGGCGCAUUAGCUAGUUGGCGGGGUAACGGCCCACCAAGGCGACGAUGCGUAGCCGACCUGAGAGGGUGAACGGCCACACUGGGACUGAGACACGGCCCAGACUCCUACGGGAGGCAGCAGUAGGGAAUCUUCCGCAAUGGACGAAAGUCUGACGGAGCAACGCCGCGUGAGUGAGGAAGGUCUUCGGAUUGUAAAGCUCUGUUGCCAGGGAAGAACAGGUGUAUGUUAACUGCAUGCACUGUGACGGUACCUGAGAAGAAAGCCCCGGCUAACUACGUGCCAGCAGCCGCGGUAAUACGUAGGGGGCAAGCGUUGUCCGGAAUUAUUGGGUGU